GAUCAGUAGGGGUUCUGAGAGGAAGGUCCCCCACAUUGGAACUGAGACACGGUCCGAACUCCUACGGGAGGCAGCAGUGAGGAAUAUUGGUCAAUGGGCGAGAGCCUGAACCAGCCAAGUAGCGUGCAGGAUGACGGCCCUAUGGGUUGUAAACUGCUUUUAUAAGGGAAUAAAGUGAGUCUCGUGAGACUUUUUGCAUGUACCUUAUGAAUAAGGACCGGCUAAUUCCGUGCCAGCAGCCGCGGUAAUACGGAAGGUCCGGGCGUUAUCCGGAUUUAUUGGGUUUAAAGGGAGCGUAGGCCGGAGAUUAAGCGUGUUGUGAAAUGUAGACGCUCAACGUCUGCACUGCAGCGCGAACUGGUUUCCUUGAGUACGCACAAAGUGGGCGGAAUUCGUGGUGUAGCGGUGAAAUGCUUAGAUAUCACGAAGAACUCCGAUUGCGAAGGCAGCUCACUGGAGCGCAACUGACGCUGAAGCUCGAAAGUGCGGGUAUCGAACAGGAUUAGAUACCCUGGUAGUCCGCACGGUAAACGAUGGAUGCCCGCUGUUGGUCUGAAUAGGUCAGCGGCCAAGCGAAAGCAUUAAGCAUCCCACCCUGGGGAGUA
rnacentral:rRNA from 1 species